UUGGAAUUUUGAAACCAUUUGUAGGUACUGUCACAAAAUGGUACCCUGCUGUGGGCCAUCAGUCACACAUCAGUCACACUUCUGUUCUAGAAGAGAAACAAACCAGCUGAUGGCAAUGGGUCUGAGUAGACUCCAGAAGCAUUUUUAUUAAGAUACCUAGAAUCUUCUAGUCCAACCCCCUGCCCAAGGAUGGGGAACAAACUCAGUGAAGGAAAAAGAAGAAAUCUCCUCUCUGAGCAAUUUCCCUUCACGACCGUUUUUGGGAUCUGAUUGCCGAAUUGACUCCAAAGAUUCCCCGGAGGCAGCAUUUAUGAGAAGCUGGGGACAUUCCAGGGGUAUAAUAAAAUGACAGCUGAGGACUAUCUGAGCACAACAGUUUGAGAAGAGCAUAAACGUUUUCCCCGACUGAGGUUCAGUGCUC